GAUGAACGCUGGCGGCGUGCCUAAUACAUGCAAGUCGAGCGAACGGACGAGAAGCUUGCUUCUCUGAUGUUAGCGGCGGACGGGUGAGUAACACGUGGAUAACCUACCUAUAAGACUGGGAUAACUUCGGGAAACCGGAGCUAAUACCGGAUAAUAUUUUGAACCGCAUGGUUCAAAAGUGAAAGACGGUCUUGCUGUCACUUAUAGAUGGAUCCGCGCUGCAUUAGCUAGUUGGUAAGGUAACGGCUUACCAAGGCAACGAUGCAUAGCCGACCUGAGAGGGGGAUCGGCCCCACUGGGACUGGGACACCGUCCACACCCCCAAGGGGGGGAAGAGGUGGGAAUCUUUCCGAAUGGGGCAAAACCCUACGGGGCAACGCCCGGGGAGGGAAGAAAGGCUUCGGAUCGGAAAACCCUUUUUUUAGGGAAAAAAAAAAUGUGAAAGAACUUUGCACCUCCUGGCCGGAACUAAACAAAAAGCCACGGGUAACUUCGGG
rnacentral:rRNA from 1 species